CAGCAGCCGCGGGAAUACGAAGGGGGCUAGCGUUGCUCGGAAUUACUGGGCGUAAAGGGAGCGUAGGCGGAUCGUUAAGUUGGGGGUGAAAGCCCGGGGCUCAACCUCGGAACUGCCUUCAAUACUGGCGAUCUUGAGUAUGAGAGAGGUGUGUGGAACUCCGAGUGUAGAGGUGAAAUUCGUAGAUAUUGGGAAGAACGCCGGUGGCGAAGGCGGCAACCUGGUCCUUGACUGACGCUGAGGCGCGAAAGCGUGGGGAGCAAACAGGAUUAGAUACCCCAGUAGUCCCUGUCUCUUAUAU
rnacentral:rRNA from 1 species